rnacentral:rRNA from 1 species
UACAGAGGUCCCAAGCGUUGUUCGGAUUCACUGGGCGUAAAGGGUGCGUAGGUGGUGAGGUAAGUCGGAUGUGAAAUCUCGGAGCUCAACUCCUAAAUGGCAUUGGAAACUACCUCGCUAGAGGAUCGGAGGGGAGACUGGAAUUCUCGGUGUAGCAGUGAAAUGCGUAGAUAUCGAGAGGAACACCAGUGGCGAAGGCGAGUCUCUGGACGAUUCCUGACGCUGAGGCACGAAAGCCAGGGGAGCAAACGGG